UAUCUCUGUAGAGUCUGCAUAUCAAUAAGCGGAGGAAAAGAAACUAACAAGGAUUCCCUUAGUAACGGCGAGUGAAGCGGGAAGAGCUCAAAUUUGAAAUCUUCAAGGUUCUACCUUGACGAAUUGUAGUUUAAAGAAGUGUUUUCUGUUGGAGUUUGGUAGAAAAGUUCUUUGGAAUAGGGACAUCAUAGAGGGUGAGAAUCCCGUAUUUGGAUCAUUAUUUCUAGCUUUGUGAUACACUUUCAAAGAGUCGGAUUGUUUGGGAAUGCAGUCCAAAAUGGGUGGUAAAUUUCAUCUAAAGCUAAAUAUUGGCGAGAGACCGAUAGCGAACAAGUACCGUGAGGGAAAGAUGAAAAGAACUUUGAAAAGAGAGUUAAACAGUACGUGAAAUUGUCAAAAGGGAAGCGUUUGACACCAGUGUUGUUUUUCCGAAAAUCAAUUACGAAUGGCUUGAUUUUGUGUUGUAUUGACCUUAUCAGCUUUCUUCACUUUUUUCGAGUCUUUCUUAAUGCACUUUUUGGUUAACAAGUCAACAUCAAUUUCUUUUGUUGUAAACGAGUAUUCGGAAGGUGGCUUUCUUUUCGGAGAAAGUGUUUAUAGCCCUAUACUUCUACAAUCGGAGAGAUUGAGGUCUGCAGCGUAGAUCCUUCGGGGUUAGAUACACUUGUGCUAAGUUGUAGCUUUUCAUAGACAACUUGUUGACUAUGUUUAGUCAUGCGGCUUACUCGCUUGUGCUAUUUUACCUACGCUUAGGAUGUUGACUGAUAUGUAGUCGUA
rnacentral:rRNA from 1 species